GAUGAACGCUGGCGGCGUGCCUAAUACAUGCAAGUCGAGCGAACAGACGAGGAGCUUGCUCCUCUGACGUUAGCGGCGGACGGGUGAGUAACACGUGGAUAACCUACCUAUAAGACUGGGAUAACUUCGGGAAACCGGAGCUAAUACCGGAUAAUAUAUUGAACCGCAUGGUUCAAUAGUGAAAGACGGUUUUGCUGCCACUUAUAGAUGGAUCCGCGCCGCAUUAGCUAGUUGGUAAGGUAACGGCUUACCAAGGCAACGAUGCGUAGCCGACCUAAGAGGGUGAUCGGCCACACUGGAACUGAGACACGGUCCAGACUCCUACGGGAGGCAGCAGUAGGGAAUCUUCCGCAAUGGGCGAAAGCUUGACGGAGCAACGCCGCGUGAGUGAUGAAGGUCUUCGGAUCGUAAAACUCUGUUAUUAGGGAAGAACAAAUGUGUAAGUAACUAUGCACGUCUUGACGGUACCUAAUCAGAAAGCCACGGCUAACUACGUG
rnacentral:rRNA from 1 species